UUGGUCGUUGCAAAAACAAAAAAAAAACGUGUUAUGUUACAACAGAAUACAUUUUAAACUUUAUGUACAACUAAAGAAUGAACAUUGAGAUUCAACCAAGUUAUGGUCCUGUAAGUAAGAACUAAGAUUCAACCAAGCUAUUUUCAUGUGGAUAAAUGAGAUUCAAACAAGCUAGGUCAUGUAGAUAUCUACAUUCAGAUUUAACCAAGUUAUG